GAGACUUUAUAAGACGGACAAAUUUGUCCUUCAUUCUCCUCUUCUUCAUGCAGUCGCCACCUCUAAACCCACAUUUUUCAUCGUUUCCGUCCACGUUUGCUCCGUAUUUUGUAUUCCUUCACUCACGAGUGAAUAAGUGUUAAUAUUUUCAGAUUUUUUCAGCAAUGAGUUUGUGUUGCCCUUAAGGCAUUUCUCUGAAUAAAUAGGUUCAUAAGUUUGAAAUAAAUAAUUCUAAAAUGAUUUGUCAUUAAAAACAUUGAUAUGUGUUGUUAAAAUGAAUAAUUCAUGCUUUAUAUGCGUUUUAGUUAAAAAAGAAAAUAUCGCUAAAAUGUACUUCCUGUUCUGGUGGCGCACUUCCGGUUCUGGUCAAACACUGUUUUCGCGGAGAAACAGGCGCCUCAUGCUGAAGGCAGCGUGGAGAUGUAAUCAGAUGCCAUCUUCUCUGAAUUAUCAGGCUGGAACGCCUUUUCACCACAUGUUCAUGAGACAAUUAAACAAGCUGCAACUAAACUCCAGGAUCUUCUUUUGUGGUUUAACUCGGUGUCACCAACAUCCCUGUUGAAAACACAACAGCAUUCUUCAAUCUGUUUGGGGUCUGCUGCUAAAUAUCUGUUCACUUUUCAACGGAGCUACAUCUGUGCUGGUGACGAAUAUACAGGAAGUGGCGCCCUGACCAAUCACAAGCUUGCGGUCUGUUAUUUUUGAUGGGGGUUUAACAUUUUGUGCAUGUUGGCUGGACUGGAGAAAGAACAGUGAAGCUGUUUACAAGAAGGGACACAGCAGACUGCACUUCUUGAGAAUGCUUAGGUCCUUCAAUGUCUGUAGUAAGAUGCUGCAGAUCUUCUACAAGUCUGUUGUUGAGAGUGUAAUCUCUUCAGCCAUCGUCUGUUGGGGUAGCAGCUUCAGAAGCAGGGACCUGAAAAGGCUCAACAGCCUAAUAAAAAAGGCUGGUUCUGUUCUGGGGACGACUGUGGAACCACUGGAGGAGACAUUGCAAAGAAGGAUUCUCCAGAGAAUCAAGAAAAUGAUGGACAACCCUGAGCAUUCUCUUCACAAGACUGUCCGACAACGGAGUGUCUUCAGUCAGAGGCUUCUUCAGUUUGGCUGCAACACUGACCGCUACUGGAGAUCCUUCCUGCCAACAGCCAUUGUAAUAUACAACAACUCUUUGAUGACUUGAUUAUUAUUAUUAUUCUGAGCUACUACAGCAAUCAGUUUCCCUCUGGGAUUAAUAAAGUUUUUUUGACUUGAAUUGAA